CGGGGCUGUGCUGCGCGUCUCCUCGUCGUCCCCCCGCAGUGCCCGGCUUCCCUCAGCCCAUCCUCCCCCUCUGCCUGCUGCUGCCCGGGCAGUGGAUCCCCUGCGGCAGCCCCUCGCGCCCUGUCAGAGCACCGCUCCAGCUGGUGACCCCAGGCCCCGGGCUAAGCAGCCUGCAGGAGGCCGUGGCCGUGCUGAGGGGCUUCUUUUCACAGAUCCAACGUGCCCAGCCCGCUGCCAGCACUGCCGUGCACGAGGGCUGCUCUCAGGCACCGGAGCCAUGGCGCCAGGCGGUGGCGGAGGCUCCCGGCUUCAGAAACACCUGCACUCUGUCUAGACAGACUUCCCUGGCCAAAACAGAUACGGCAACAACCAGUUCAAAGCAUCCACUGCCUCUCCAACGCCGUGCUUCCCUUAGACAGCUUCCUGGCUGUGACCUCCCACCGCAACACCGGGACACCUCUGUACCUUCAGAGAUGUGUUUAAACCAUUGGCCAUCCACACUCAAAGCAUCGAGCCCCACUCCUGGCCUUGCAGUCCAGCUGACACCAACAGAUGAGCUCUUGCUUUUCUUUGUGACUGCAAGGAAGAGAUGCGUUCCCAGUGACGACAGCUGCGCAUCUCAUGCAUUUGAUGGCUUUGGAAACAGCUUCAGCUCAGCCAUUGCCCAGGAUCCAUCCGAGGCUCACGGGGCUGAUGUACAUCGGAGCUGCUGACACGCAGCACGGAUCACACAAGCCCUAAAGUACCUAAAAUUACCUCGUGUUAUCUUUUGAGAACGUCCCCACCCUCCAUUCAGAAUGACAACUUUUGGCAACGACGGGAAAACAGAAAUGACAGAUGGUGACAAAAUCUGGUACACAAACACGGCGGUAGGCAGUAAAUGAAUGUCACCCACUCUCCCAUUUGUGCUCAUCGCCGUUUUUGAGCCUGCCGGGGUUGUUACGACACACAGAGCAGCCCCAAAGCACGGUGUGCUGAAUGCCAAAGGGGCACCAACUGGAGAGCAGAGCAGAGCCCCCAUUGGGGGAGUGCAGCUGAGGGAUCGCACACCAACAGCCCGCCCUGCAGCCACUGGAAAUGCUGCCCUGAAAGCACUGCAUCCGCUGUCACCGGGAGCACGGCUGCAUCACACCGACACGCUCAGGGAAGGUUUCUAUGAUUUGCUGGGGAAUCCGGCAGCAAGGAGCAGACAAGCCCAAGCCUGCCAUGAAGACCACGGCCUUUUGUUCUGGCCUCUGCACUCCUAAAAGCAAUGCCCCAGCCCGACCUGCAGCCUUGGCGAUGCCGUGGGAUGAACACCAGCCGUGGGGCUGGGGCCUUUCACAGGUGCCCA
ensembl:lncRNA